ensembl:lncRNA
CAGUUCCUCCCUCUUCCACCCCAUAGGGCACUGGGAUCCAGAGAGAUGGAUUAAUCUUACCCCGGAGCCACAGGUCUCCUCUUGCAUGGAUGAAUGAGAGCCCACACUGAAACUUGAAAUAUUUUCAAGACCAAUCAUCUGCGUAUUAACAUCCAACACGUGCAGGCAACAGACCAACUAUUCUUCUUCUGAGGAAGCUGGCAUGUCAAAAUCUGGCUGUUUCCCUCAAAAAAGCAAGGAAGGGACACGUGGCUCCAAGGGGCACCCAGCAGCGGGUCGGGCUCACUGUAUCUCCAUCACAUCCACCACCAGCACAGCGCAGGUUUCCCUCCUUGCUGAGACUCAGGAUGGAGAUUUGCACACAAAGGAAUCCUUCGUUUUUCGUUUCCAGCUGUUUCAAAUUUUCUGUGUACUUGGAAAAAGUAAAAUGAUUCUUUAGCACCGAGAAUAGCUGGCGAUAUUGAAUUUGGAGUGUGCAGGCGGGGAUUAGCUGAACGGAAAUGCAUGGUGGAUGUUUCACGGGUGUUUUACUCAUCCAGGGAGAGAAUAAAAAAUGUGGCACUCGUUAUUUUGUGGGAUAUUUAAUCCCUUCAACUAAUUUUGCGUGAAACGGGCUUUAGGUUCCACUCCCUCCUCUUUUUCUGGUUUUGUUUUUCAACUCUUCCCCACCUUCUUCUCUUCCCUCUUGGAAAAAGGAAUGAAAACAAGAAAUGAAAGAUUUCCCCUUCUCCAUCCUUUAACUUCUCUCAAUCCUCUCCCCUUUUCUUCAGGUGGGUCCCAGGUAACCUUUGACAUGUUUUCCAAUCUCAAGGCCAGCACUAAGGCUCCUCAUUCCAUACUUCAGCACCAAAACCGUGAGCUGGCUUUAAAAAACGCUGAGCAUGCAGCAGCUCCCAAUAAAUUUCACACCCCAGCAGAAGUCCUGUUGUCGGGAACUGUUUUCAUCCCCGCAUUUGCAGGUUGCCUUCAUUACUUCCUUCCCUUGGGUCACAAAAAGGCUGUUAGUGACAUCUCCCAUUUACCAGGUGCGGCAGUAUAAAUUCAGGGUAACUCCACUGAACUUAAUGUGCUUAAUGUAGAUACUCGGAAUCCGCACUGCUGCAAAUGAGAUCAGAAUUUGUCCCGGCCACAGGAGCCAGAGGGAGGUCAAAUGCUUUACAUACAUUACCUCCUCUUCAGCAUGCUAAUGAUGUGCAAUUUCAAAUGCUUUUCCCCAGACGCUGCAGUUCCAGGAACGGCACUAAAAGCAUUAAAAGGAAGCACAGCAGACCCCGCCACCGAAUGCCCAAUGAAGCUACACACCUGAUUGAGGCAAACAGUAGGAAGGUGAGCUGGGAGGGGGGAAAUUCAGCAGUUCCCAAUAAAACAGUCACAAAUCCACCCUUGCUGAUGUCACUGCUCCCAUUCCUGGCUACCCAGAACACGCAGCACUGGCAGCAGUUACAAUCAACGCUGGCCAUGAGCAUCUGUUUAUGAGGGUGGAUAGUGAUAGGACAAUGGGGAAUGGUCUUAAACUGAGACAGGGGAGGUUUAGGUUGGAUAUGAGGAGGAAGUUUUUCACCCAGAGGGUGGUGACGCACUGAACAGGUUGCCCAAGGAGGCUGUGGAUGCCCCAUCCCUGCAGGCAUUCAAGGCCAGGCUGGAUGUGGCUCUGGGCAGCCUGGUCUGCUGGUUGGCGACCCUGCACAGAGCAGGGGGUUGGAACUGGAUGAGCACUGUGGUCCUU